UACGAAGGGGGCUAGCGUUGUUCGGAAUCACUGGGCGUAAAGCGCGCGUAGGCGGAUUGUUAAGUCAGGGGUGAAAUGCCGAGGCUCAACCUCGGAACUGCCUUUGAUACUGGCAAUCUUGAGUCCGGGAGAGGUGAGUGGAACUCCUAGUGUAGAGGUGAAAUUCGUAGAUAUUAGGAAGAACACCAGUGGCGAAGGCGGCUCACUGGCCCGGAACUGACGCUGAGGUGCGAAAGCGUGGGGAGCAAACAGG
rnacentral:rRNA from 1 species